CUCAUUCCACUCCAUAAUAUUCAAGCUCAAUCAAAUUUAUUAGAACCCUAAUUGUCCACUGUUCUUCCACUCCUCCAAAAAUCAUAUCGAAAAUGCCUCUGCUCUCCACGGCCUCUGGUUUGCGGUGCAAAAUGCACACGGAAGGUGUUGAUGGUGAUGAUGAUGGAGAUUAUGAUUAUGCCCCUGCUGCAUCAGAAGGCGAUGACGAUGAUGAUGGCGGCUAUGAUUAUGCUCCUGCAGCAUAAGUAACAAGGGAGGGAGUGUCUAACAAACUAUGUAGCUACCCAACUUAAUUUCUUAUGUUGAGAUUAGAGACAAAAGACAUGUUUUUGUUUGAUAUAAUCAUGUUGGCUCAUGUUAUGAGUUGGUGUAUUUAAUUGACUUAUUACAAAGCAAUCACCAGAGCUUUUCAUCCUUCAUUUUCAAAAUGACAAUGCUACAAUUGGAAAUGGACUCUUAAUGUGUGUAGAGUAAUACACGAAGUAAUUAAGCAGUUCUUAAUAUGUGGCUUCUGAUGGACUUGUAUGAUUCAUGAAUAAUAUUCAACAAAGUUCCAUGUAUAUUGGAAAUCUCUUACGAGACGACCAAAUAGAUAACAUGACAAGGCUCAAUUGACUUGCACAAAGAAAUAAGUUCCUGCAUAAAAAAGGAGAACUCCAAAAAACUAGUUUUUAGGUAGGGUAGCUUACAGUAACCAGCAAAAUUUUCACUUCUCCUGUGGGUAAAGUAAGAACAAAUUAAUCACCCCGUCUCACUUCAUGCAGUUACUCCUUCUUGUAGACUGUCAGGGCAUCUCCAACAAUAGGUGACAAGAGUGGGUGCCAAUGUCAUGUGGCAUGACGUGGCAAAACACUCUAAUUUAUUCUAUUGAAGUGUAUGGAUGUCAUUAGAAUGCUUAAUGAAAUGAUAUAGUGAUGUGAUGUGUAGGAAAUAAAUCAUAAAAAUAUUAUAUUUGAUUAAGUGGCAAAGUUAAACCCCGCUUGAAUGGUGUCGAUCACUGAAAAUGCUUUUAGAUUCUCAUCAAUUUUAAUGCUUUUAGAUUCUCAUCAAUUUUCUGCUACGCUGACCAAUCCUAGCCAACCACAUUCUAUAUGUACUCGCUUUGACAGCUGGAAUAUGAUGUUGUUUCUGAUGAUGAGUUGGCAUAUGACUCCAUGAGCUAGAACAAUCUUCGCACAAACAAUGUAAUAUUUGGGCAAAACUUCAACUUCCAAGUAUUUUUACACAAUUAGACGCACAGUAUUUUUACUCAGAUAAACCAUGAAUUUACGUUAGAAAGGACCCAAUACGUUAGAAAUUAGUUAGCUUACAUAUGACAUCAAGAAUAUGUAUGAUCUUCUCUGUGGCUGCUCACCUCUUAAAUAUAUAGCAGCACACUCUAUUUCUAAACAUAAUUAAUUGCAUAUCCUGCAACAUGCACUAAUUACUAAUCAUUUAUCAAAGAUUCGUGUUCCACAUAUAUAUAAAAUCAUAUAUAAUGCCAGUCAACCAACUAGAUAACAUGUAAAGGCUCAGUUGACACACACAAGGUAUAUAUUUUAAAACCAAAGAGAUUCAAGCAUUUUGCACCAGAAGCUCUAAUACUCGUACCGUCGACAUGUUGUAUUCAAGUUCAUAUUGUCACCACCAGGGCGGAUCUAAGAAGAGGCACGCAAGGGCACGUGUCCCCUCUAAAUUGUUUUUUUUUAUAUUGUUUCAUCAUUUUAAAUUUUGCAAAAUUAUAGAAGUGCCCUCACAAAAUUUAAAAAUAUAUAGAUUUUUUCUGAAAAUUUGCUUGGUGCCUACCUAAAAUUUUUGUGCUAGAUCCGCCCUGGUCACCACAGAGUAAAAAGAUCCUCCUUACUUUUUGAGCUUGGCCCAAUCAUACCCCAGAAGCUGCUAAUUCAUAUACACUAUAUAUCUUUGGCCGCUGGAAUAUACUAUAUUAUGUGGCUUCUCAAUCGCCACUUGUCUGCACACACAAACACACUUAAAUGCACCCAAACAAUCGAAUAUAUACUGAUCUGUAAUUAAAUUUCCAACGUGGAAUAGCAAUAUUGUGUGACCCAAGUACACGCAUUGGGUUUUACACGCCCUCCAGACAUUAACCCACGCCCAUCCUGUGCCGAGCUCGAGGAAAUAAACCUAAAACACUCGCAAGCUUUUUACAUCUAUAUAUACAGCUUCAUUCACUUCCAAAUUAUUCAAACUCAAUCACAUUCUUCAACAAUUCAUUACCCUAGCUCGUCAGUGUUCUUCAGCUACUCUAAGAGAUCAUCCUGAGAAUGGCUCUGCUUUCCAAGACCUCUGGAUUGUGGUGCACGGUGCACAAAGAAGGUGACGAUGAUGAUGCAUAUACUUAUGUCCCGUGUGUUCGAGGUGGUGGUGAUGACGAUGACGGAGAUUAUGAUUAUGCUCCUGCUGCGUCUGAGGGUGACGACGAUGAUGAUGGUGGUUAUGAUUAUGCUCCUGCUGCUUGAGUAACAAGGGAGACUAGUAUCUAACAAUUCAUAUAGCUAAUAGCUGUCUGCAUAAGGCAAUGGUGCAUGUACCAAACUAAUUUCCUAAGUCAAGAUUAGAGACAUAAGUAAUAUUUUAGUUCCAUAUCAUGAUUUUGUUGACUCAUGUACGUGUAUCCGGUUAAUGUUGAAAAUAACCUAAUCUAAGUUGUUUAGACGUAGGAAACAUUUGCAGGAGAAAAAUUAAAACUUCUGAUAUAUAUAAACUGAUUACAUGCAACGUUUUAAAUACUAAUGCACAUCAACAGUGGCUACAAACUAGGAAGUUGAAGACUCAUAACUGACUCCACUACUCCAUUAUCCUCUCACACUCCUAUUAAUCUGCUAACGUCUAAAUGACCAAAUCAAAUACUACUGACUAGUGCUUCACAGAUAUCUCCACGUACAGCACUUGACACAAGCAAACUGAAUAUAAAUAAAGCAUGCAAAUAAAACAUCAAAUUUUAGAUUAAUAUUCCAACAAUCAUCCUCUUAAUCUAAAAUUUAUUUGAACAUAAUUUUUGAAGCACUUCUCUUCAAUUUUGUGAUGCACUUCUCACCACCAUCUCUUCAUUUUGUGAUGCACUUCUCACCACUAUCAAGUUUGAUGCACUUCUCAUCAAAAACAAUUUUGGAGUACUUCUCUCCAGGGUGCACUUCUCACCCACAAUUCUAAAUUAAAAAUUUCUUCCAUGACCACUUGUGCCAUGAUUUUCUUCUCACAGACUUCUCCGGCAUCGACUUGUCUUUCUCGACAGCCCUAUACUACACAUGCAUCCCAUACUACACGUGUAGCUUUGCCACCAUCCUUCUGCAAUGCCUACUUAAAACUACAUCUUCUCCGCAACACAACGCCUCUGCAGCACAACGUCCGGCACCCGUGACGCCAACACCCAGCAACAACCCAAGGAUCGGAGGAAAGGCUGUUAAGCCCUGAUACUCUCUCCCCUCUUGGCUCUGAGAUACCAUGUUGAAAAUAACCUAAUCUACAUAAUGUAUAUAAGUUGUUUAGACGUAGGAAACAUUUGCGGAGAGAAAAACUAAAACUUCUGAUAUAUAUAAACUGAUUACAUGCAACGUUUUAAAUACUAAUGCACAUCAACAGUGGCUACAAACUAGGAAGUUGAAGACUCAUAACUGACUCCACUACUCCAUUAUCCUCUCACACUCCUAUUAAUCUGCUAACGUCUAAAUGACCAAAUCAAAUACUACUGACUAGUGCUUCACAGAUAUCUCCACGUACAGCACUUGACACAAGCAAACUGAAUAUAAAUAAAGCAUGCAAAUAAAACAUCAAAUUUUAGAUUAAUAUUCCAACAGUUAAAUUAUUACAAUGAUAUCUAGAUGGCUGCAGAUUGAUUUUUCUAUUAUUUUUGUCGUUUUGUUGUCGCCCUUCUAGUAUGCAACUUUAUGUGCAGGUAGAAAUGCUAUAUAUACUCCUAUUAGAGCAUCUUCAAGGCUAACAGUGAAAACUGUUAGCUAAAACAUGAUUAGUUAUAAUUUUACUGAACUUGUAGCGAUUUUUCUCCGACGGUGUUAGCUAUAAUCAUUAGCUAUAUUCAAAUAUUAUAUAUUUUUUAAUUUUGAAAAUAUCAUGAAAAUAAAAUUGCUCGAUAUGGGUUAAUGAAAAUUAAAUGUUAUAUUUAAUAAAAAAUUUAUUUAAUAAUAAUAUUAUAAUAUUUUUAUAUCUAUUUCAAUAUUUUAAAGUAAACAUUAUAAAAUAAAAAAAAAAUAACUAUUUUACCAAAAGCAUGUCUUAUUUAAUCAUAUCUUUUUAUAAAUAUAGUUAAAUUAAUAUUUUAACACUUAAUAAUAUUACAUGUGACUUUAUAAAUUAAAAAUAUAAAUAAUAUAUUUAUAUAUAAUAAUAUUGGUUGUUAGAAUUUUAUAAGUUUAGUUAACGAUAAAAUAAUAUUUUACACUUAAUAAAAUUAAAUAAUAUUAUAAAUUGUAAAUAAUACAUCUAUACAUAUAAUAAUAUGAACAUAUAUAAAUAUUUUGUAUAUUAUAAUAUUAUGUAUUUAAAAUAUACAUUCAAUAUUUUAAGUUAAAUAUUUAAAAAUAAUUCAAAUUAAUAUGUUAUAUAUUACAAUAAAAGAUAUUAAGUUUUGGACCAAUAUUAGGGUUACACCUGGAAUAUAUCAAGCGGGAGAUGACGUGGGCUUUCUAGCAAAAUCAUCUGCAAAUCUAGCGCACUUGUUUAUCGGAAGCUAAAUUUAUAGCUAACAGACCACUCGGAGUGGUCUAAAAUUUAGAUGUUAGGUAUAAUAUAUAUCCACGUAGACUUUAUACCUAAGAGGUGUUUGGGGUUGGAGAUGCUCUUAUAAGUUAAUAGAUUCCUGCACAAACAAUAAACACAGGCAACAAGUAUCUGGUUUAACCCUACACCUUUUGAUAUUCAUAUGAAAAAACCGAGCGAGGAUGCUAGCCGGAUCAAUUGAGAUUUGAGACUAUUUUAUAUAGAUCUAUAUGUUUCUUUUAACGGACUCUAAAAUUGAGUUGUUCAGCUGAGACUAUUGGCUAUAGAUCUAUAUGUUUCUUUUAACGGACUCUGAAAUUGAGUCGUUAAUUCGGCCAUAUGUGACCAGUCACUGGUGUAAGCAAACAAAUGAAGCUUUUCAUUUAGAAACAACAAUGCCUAUUACAGGGAACGCAGAGAGACGCCAUGAAGAGGGUUCUACACUAUAUAUAUAGUCCUGUGUUAAUCAUGAAUAUAGGUUUCUUGAUAUCAGAUGUAAGCUACCUAAUGUAAUUAUGCAUGAUGACCUAAUGUAAUUAUGCAUGCGUGCGUUCAUCUGCCUCGGAUCUUUUUACAUCUACAGUUCUUCGUGUGCGCGCGCGGAGUAAUACACAGAGUGAGCAGAUCUUUAAUUUGGGGCUUCUGAUCAUUUCUUGGAUGCAUGUUGACAUGUUUGAUAGUAAUAAUAUUUGACUCUUCUAUUAUCAUCAAGCUAAGUUGUAUGACUGCUAAUCUGCAAAUACAGUUUUUUGUAAAUUUUUUUCAACAGAAGAUCUAACCAUAAAUGUCGAAAAUUAAUACGAUUUGUGUGUGAAAGCUAGCUUUGUGUAUUAUAGAAAUCAGUCUAUAGAGGAGAAUGAUACUGCAACUCUGCAUUUUAAUUUUUCACUGGGCAUUGGGCAACCACCAGUGCCUCAAAGAAAAUGAUGCUUCUCCACUCACCACUUGUCACUGCACACACAAACACACUUAAAUGCACAUAAAUCAUCGAAUAUAUACCGAUGUGUCAUUUAAAUUCCAGAGUGGAAUAGCAAUAUUGUGUCACACUAGUGCAAGCAUUGGGGUCUUCCACACCCUCCAUACAUUUUACCUGUGCGAAACCAUGUAUGCAAAACUCUGAACACACGCACACCUUUUUACAUCUAUAUAUAUAUAUAUAUAUAUAUAUCCAGCCUCAUUCCGCUCCAUAAUAUUCAAACUCAAUCAAAUUUAUUAAAACCCUAGUUGUCCACUGUUCUUCCACUUCUUCAAAAAUUCAUAUCGAAAAUGGCUCUGCUUUCCACGGCCUCUGGUUUGAUGUGCAUGCACAAGGAAGGCGAUGAUGCAUUUCCUUAUAUCCCUUGUGUUCAAGGCGGUGGCGAUAAUGAUGAUGGAGAUUAUGAUUAUGCUCCUGCUGCAUCAGAAGGUGAUGACGAUGAUGAUGGCGGCUAUGAUUAUGCUCCUGCGGCAUAAGUAACAAGGGAGAGGAGUGUCUAACAAACUAUGUAGCUACCCAAGUUAAUUCUUAUGUUGAGAUUAGAGACAAGAGUCAUAUUUUUGUUUGACAUAAUCAUGUUGGCUCAUGUUAUGUGUUAGUGUAUUUAAUUGACUUAUUACAAAGCAAUCACCAGAGCUUUUCAUCCUUCAUUUUCAAAAUGACAAUGCUACAAAAUUAUUGGAAAAGGACUCUUAAUAUGUGUGUAGAGUAAUACACAAAGCAAGCAGUUCUUAAUAUGUG
rnacentral:lncRNA from 1 species